AUCCAGCCAUGCCGCGUGCAGGAUGAAGGCCUUCGGGUUGUAAACUGCUUUUGUACGGAACGAAACGGCCUUUUCUAAUAAAGGGGGCUAAUGACGGUACCGUAAGAAUAAGCACCGGCUAACUACGUGCCAGCAGCCGCGGUAAUACGUAGGGUGCAAGCGUUAAUCGGAAUUACUGGGCGUAAAGCGUGCGCAGGCGGUUAUGUAAGACAGUUGUGAAAUCCCCGGGCUCAACCUGGGAACUGCAUCUGUGACUGCAUAGCUAGAGUACGGUAGAGGGGGAUGGAAUUCCGCGUGUAGCAGUGAAAUGCGUAGAUAUGCGGAGGAACACCGAUGGCGAAGGCAAUCCCCUGGACCUGUACUGACGCUCAUGCACGAAAGCGUGGGGAGCAAACAGGAUUAGAUACCCUG
rnacentral:rRNA from 1 species